rnacentral:rRNA from 1 species
GGGUGAGUAACACGUAUGGAACCUGCCCGUAGCAGGGGGAUAAGCGGAGAAAAUUCCGUCUAAUACCGCGUAAUAACUCCGAGGGGCAUCUCUUGGGGUUUAAAGGGUAACACCGGCUACGGAUGGCCAUGCGGCGCAUUAGCUAGUUGGCGGGGUAACGGCCCACCAAGGCGACGAUGCGUAGGGGUUCUGAGAGGAAGGUCCCCCACACUGGUACUGAGACACGGACCAGACUCCUACGGGAGGCAGCAGUGAGGAAUAUUGGUCAAUGGGCGCGAGCCUGAACCAGCCAAGUCGCGUGAGGGAAGACGGUCCUAUGGAUUGUAAACCUCUUUUGUCGGGGAGCAAAAGACGCCACGCGUGGCGUUCCGAGAGUACCCGAAGAAAAAGCAUCGGCUAACUCCGUGCCAGCAGCCGCGGUAAUACGGAGGAUGCGAGCGUUAUCCGGAUUUAUUGGGUUUAAAGGGUGCGCAGGCGGAAGAUCAAGUCAGCGGUAAAAUUGAGAGGCUCAACCUCUUCGAGCCGUUGAAACUGGUUUUCUUGAGUGAGCGAGAAGUAUGCGGAAUGCGUGGUGUAGCGGUGAAAUGCAUAGAUAUCACGCAGAACUCCGAUUGCGAAGGCAGCAUACCGGCGCUCAACUGACGCUCAUGCACGAAAGUGUGGGUAUCGAACAGGAUUAGAUACCCUGGUAGUCCACACAGUAAACGAUG